GUGGUGGUGGUGGGUGGCCGUGGACAGAGAAACUAUUACCAUCAAGAGUUGAAAAUUGCCACCUUAAAUGGCAACAUUUCUUGAGGGAUUAAUUUUAUUUCUUUUUAGAACUCAUUAUUAUGAGGUAGAGUCCACUCUUAAAUAACUCUUAGUUUUUGGGUCUCUAUACAAAGACUGGUCUAAUUUUAGGGCACUUUAGAUGAGAAUAUCAGGUUAUUAUAAAAAUGAUACCUGUAAUGUGUUCAGAAUUAUAUGUGUGAGUGUGUGUGUGUGUAUAUGUGUAUCAAAGAUGAAUUGACAGUGGUGGCGUGUGGCCUAUGAAAUGAGACCGUUCUUAAGCAUAUUGAAAGCUAUUAUAUAAACCCAACAUUUAAAAACCCUAUUUCUGUGGGUAUAUAUUCUCAAAGUUAGUCAAAUCACAUUCUUUGUGGCGAAAACAUUUAUUUUUCUUGAGGAUGAAAAGUUCUUCCAAUAUAAUAUUUUUCUUGCCAACAGCCAAAGUUAAGAGCUGGGAAAAAAAAAAUUGCCUUGGAAACAAGUUUAAGACAUCACCACUAGAGGAUGUCAAGUCCUUUUUCAGCCUUUUUUGAGUAGUCGACCUACGAUGGGUGAUAUUCACAAAACUGCCUCUACCCAAGCUUUGUAUAUUUAAUUUUAUGUUCAUGUUCAAGAGCUGUGGAAAGCGAGUGUACAGCACUAAUUUCCUAGUCUGAUAGCCUGUUUUAAAAACCUCCUGAACUAAAAGCAAAUUUAAAGCUGCUUUUGAUUAAUUCAUGAAGCUUUCAUGCACGAAGGAAUAAGUUAAUGCCAAUAACCUGUCAAUUCUGUUGAUAUUUUGGGAAGUGGGUCAUGACUUAGAAUCUGGAAUUGGGCUUUUUGUCCAUUUUAGCAACCUGUGUGGUGAACAUGGCCUCUUUCGUGACCAUCCUUUCAUGAACUUUUCCAAAUCAAAAAGUGAUCUUGUAGGUGUCACUUAACUCUAAGGGUCCACAUUAAAUAUCUGCAAUUAAAUAAGGGCUCAGACGUCAAUUUGGUAUUAAGCUUGUCCCCUUUGAAAGAGAUGCUUCAUUCACAUAGCUAGAUAGCUUUUCUCCCAUCCUAUAUGGCUGUUACCUUUACAUCUUGCUAAGUAGGAGGAAACGUUAUUAUUAGACUAGGCAAUUGUGCUCAGGAGCAUGCAUUUAUGUAAUAUUGAUAGGCUUGUGUGAAAUAUUUUUACACAGUUUAUUUACACUGGCAUUUUCUCUAAAAAAAUUCUAACAUCUUUGCCUCCCAAUGCAUGAGAAACAAUCAUUUGGAAGAGUUAUUUUUAAAAACUCGGGCCUCGUAUUGAUGUAAGAAUUGAAAAUAUUGAGGCUUAGAAUAAGAAAUGUGUACCUUCUGUGUAUUCAGCAUUAUGGUGGUUAGAAGGCUGUUGAACAAAUGAUCCUUGAAUUUAGCAAGGAAGACAAAAUUCACCAACAAACAGUUGCAGGUUAUGAGGAGUUCAGUGAAGGAGGAAUCACUUCCGGCUGUGGUCAGCAGGAAGAACAUACUGGAUACAGCACUGAAGUUAAAUUUUAAAAAGUGGUGGAACUGGAGAUCAUUAUGUUAAGUGAAAUAAGCCAGGCACAGAAAGACAAACAUUGCAUCUUCUCACUCAUUUGUAGGAUCUAAAAAUCAAAACAAUUGAACUCAUGGACAGAGAGAGUAGAAGCAUGGUUACCAGAGGCUGAGAAGAGUAGUGGGGGUAGGGGGUGGGAGGUGGCAGGGAGGUGGGGAUGGUUAAUGGUUUGAAAAAAAAAAAGGCCAGAGGCAGUAGCUCACGCCUGUAAUCUCACCACUUUGGGAGGCUGAAGCAGGCAGAUCACAUGAGGCCAGGAGUUUGAGACUAGCCUGGGUUACGUGGUAAAACCCCAUCUCUACUAAAAAUAAAAAAAUUAGCCUGGUGUGGUGGCGCACGCUUAUAGUUCCAGCUCUUUGGGAGGCUGAGGCAGAAGAAUCACUUGAACCCAGGAGGUUGAGGUUGCAGUGAGCCAAGAUUGCACCACUGCACUCCAGCCUGGGUGACAGAGCGAGACCAUGUCUCAAAAAACAAAAAGUUAGAAAGAAUAAGAAUAGUAACAAAUACUAUUUGAUAGCACAGCAGAUUGAUUAUAGUCAAUAACUUAAUUGUACUUUUAAAAAUAUCUAAGAGUGUAAUUGGAUUGUUUGUAACACAAAGGAUAAAUGCUUGAGGGGAUGGAUACCCCAUUCUCCAUGAUGUAAUUAUUUCACAUUGCAUGCCUGUAUCAAAACAUUUCAUGUACCAUAUAAAUAUAUAUACCUACUAUUUACCCACAAAAAUAAAAAAAAAUUAAAUUUGUUUUAAUUUAAAAAAUAAAAAAAUAAACUUUUAAAAAUGGGUAAGUGGGAUAUAAAAUUAGAUGGAGGAAAGGGAGAAAAAGAUGCAGGUGUGAAAAAGAGCAAAGUUUUGGUCAUAUUGACACAUGUGUAAAGCUCAAAGAAAGUCCUAGGUCAGUUAGGAAUGAUUGUUCAUCGAAGUCAAAUUGUGGAAGGGCUGAAGGCCAAACUGAGAGGCUAGUACAUUUUUCUGGGGUAGGGUAGUGGGGGAAGUGUUGAGGAUUCUUGAGAAUAAAGGAUAUUGAUUAAAGCAGGAAUAAUCAGGUAGUUCUGUGCCCAUGAAUCUUGAAAUAUUGAUUGCAAGUUCUAACAAGAGCUCAGCUGUGCCUUUAGCUAAUGAAAGCAAAGUUCCUCCCUCUGGGAAAGUCAUUCUCUUCCAUUGAUUUUUUUUUUUUUUUCUUUUACUGCUUUGGGAAGGGUGCACCUGGAGGGAUGAGAAUGCAUGAGGAAUAUCUGCCUAGCCAGAUUAGCCAAAUCUCUGGAGAUCAAUGAAGGGCUAGGUCUACUCAGCUGGUCCUCAUUUCAAAGUAGCAACGUGGACUUGAGGAUGGACUGAAGAAGAGUUCAGCGACAUACACACCAACUUUGAGAUUCCUGCAGAAAUCCAGGCAGUCAUUAGCAUGGCAAUAGGAAGAGACGAUUAAUUUAAGGUUCUGCAGGGGCAUGUGUCAAAGGAUUGCAGGUAAAAAGGUGACAUAUGAGACUUUUCCAAGUUUGAGUUUGGCUCAUUGACUUAUUGGAAAAUAUUCAUGAGGAGGACCUGUUUUGUUCUUUACCCCAAAGAGAUGGGGGGCGGGUCUUGCUAUGUUGCCUGGGCUGGACUUGAACUCCUGGGCUCAAGUGAUCCUCCCGGCUUAGCUGUUCGAGUAGCUGGGACUACAGGCAUGCACCACUGUGUCCAGCAGAAUCAGGUUUUGGUGGGAGAAACAGGAAAAAAACCUCUCUGCUUUAGACAUGAAAAUGUGUGGUACAAGAGAGAUCUGUAAGUGGAAAUGUUCAAAAGGCAACUGGAAGUAUAGGACUAAAAGAGAAAAAUAGAGGUCAGGACUCUGGGAUUCACUCCAUAAAGGAAUAAUAGCUGAAGGUUUGGGAGUGAGGAGAGCUCAGAAAAACCACAAAGGGGUGAGACGACCUGUAAAGCAUGGGAGGAGGAAGAGCCAGCAAAGCAGACAGAUGGAAAAGCACAGCUGAGCAAUGUCACACCUGCUGAGAGGGAUGGAGAGGUAAGGGAUUCAAAGACUGAUGAAGACAUUUUAUAAAAAGCUGUUGGUUUGGUUACAAAUAGUCACUGACCAACCCCAGAAGAGGAAUUUCAGUUGUUGGUGCAAGAGUUGGGGCUACAUCAGAUUAGAAGUGAUUGUGAGAUAAGCAGUUUGGGAAGAAAGGUAGCCAAUUUAAUAGACCCUCCCAUAAAGCUUGCUGGUGAGAGGAAAAAAUUACAAAUCCUUGAAUAGGCAGAGGGAUUUUAAAAAAUCUAUUCUAAAAUUUGCGUACAGUCCAGGUGCGGUGGCUCAUGCCUGUAAUCCCAGCACUUUGGGAGACCAAGGCGGGCAGAUCGCUUGAGCUCAGGAGUUCGAGACCAGCCUGGGCAACAUGGCAAAGCCCCAUCUCUACUGAAAAUACAAAAAUUAGCCAGGUGUCGUGGCAUACAUCUGUAAUCCGAACUACACAGGAGGCUGAGGCAGGAGAAUUGUUUGAACCUGGGAGACGGAGGGUGUAGUGAGCCGAGAUGGUAGCACCACAUUCCAGCCUGGGCAACAGAGCAUGACACCUUCUCGAAAAAAAUAAUUUGUGUGCAAAAAAAAUUACGGAUUUUCUUUUAUUUUCUUUUUUUAGUUUUGUUGACUGUAUAGGUAAUGUAAGCACCACCGUUAACAUUAUCCCAAAGAGUCCUCUGCCUCCAACCUAAAUUCCCUAAUGCUGCACCUUUGUAGUGAGACUCUCUUCCUACACCUAACCCCUGGCAACCACUGAUCUGUUUACCAUCUUCCUAGUUUUGCCUUUUCCAGAAUGUCAUAAAAGUGGAAUCAUACAUUGUGUAACCUUUUUUUCUUUUUUUUUGUGAGACGGAGUUUUACUCUUGUUGCCCAGGCUGGAGUGCAAUGGCACAAUCUCAGCUCACAGGAACCUCCUCCGCCUCCUGGGUUCAAGCGAUUCUCCUGCCUCAGCCUCCCGGAUAGCUGUGAUUACAGGCAUGUGCCACCAUGCCCGGCUAAUUUUGUAUUUUUAGUAGAGAUGGGGUUUCUACUAAACCCCAUCAGGCUGAUCAUGAACUCCUGACCAAAGGUGAUCCACCCGCCUCAGUAUCCCAAAGUGCUGGGAUUACAGGCGUGAGCCGCUGCACCCAGCCCCACAUUGUGUAACCUUUUGAGUCUGAAUUUUUCACCUGGCAUCAUGUUUUUGAGAUUCAGGCACACUGUUGUGCAUGUUAGGAUGUGGUACAUCCUUUUUCUUGAUGAAGUAGUUUGCCAUUGUAUGGAAGUAUCACAGAUGGUUUAUCAAAGAACAUUUGAGUUGUUCCCGGGUUUUGGCAAUUAUGAAUAAUGCUGCUGUAAACACUUACCUACAGGUUUUUGUGUGAGCAUAGUUUUCAUCUAUUCUGGGUAAAUACCUAGGAGUGGGAUUGCUGAUUCAUGUAACUGUAUGUUUAACUUUAUAAGAAAUGGCCAAGCUUUUCCAGAGCAACUCUACGGUUUUACAUUCUUACAAACAGUGUAUGUGAGUUCUGGUUGCCCUGCAUCCUCACUAAUACUUAGUAUCGUUAGUUUUGUUUGUUUUUAAAACUUUAGCCAUUCCACCAAGUUCUUUGAGUAAAGCAAUGUAAUCACCUCAAAGUAAAAUAGUGCCUUUUUAAUGCUAACCCAUGCUCACAUGAAUUAGGAAAGCCUGGAGGUGGUGUUGAUCCCAGAGCCUAGGUAUAAUACGGAAUUUAUAUUUGACUCUAAUAUCUUUAUUCUCCUUCAUUCUUUUUUCCCCACAGUAUUUCUUUUUUUUUUUAAUUUUAACACACCAUUGCUUGCUUGAAGAGCCAUAGUAUCUCUUAUUUCCUGUGGAGUAUGCAUUCUGAAGUUGAUUAUAGACGGAAGUGCCAUUAUAUAGCACAUUCCCUGCCAAUUCAAGUUCUCUCUUCCUCCUUAAUGGUCUCUGUUCUAAUCCCUUGAGAUAUGGCUUUCUAGAACUUGGAAAUAACUUGUUUUGUUGUUAGAAAGCUAGACAUAUUGUUCAUAUACUUUGUUUAUUAUCCUGAUUAAUUCCUUAUUGGAACAUCUUAUAUUGUCAAACUGAAUACUUACCAGUUCUCAGAUACAGUGCUUUGUAAAGCCUUGAUAGUCUGUCAUUGGACGUUUCAUCAGUUGCUCAUGGUCUAAGGUUCUGUAAGCUAAAUGUGAAUGGUAUUUAGGCUUAUACUUUUUUAUAAAAUUCAGUUUUAGGGUUUGUCUCGUUCUCUAGCGGUGAUGUUGUCUACCUCUUUACUAUCUUAGCUCUUGUAAAACUCUGAGUUACGGUUGUUGACACAUUUAAAUGGCAUUUGGAUUUUCUCUUCAGUAAUUAUUAUUCUCUUUAGUAUCUUUUUAAUUUGAGAAAUAGCCUGUUGAAAAAGAUCUGUAAGAUUUUUUUAUUAGGUACCACUUUGAAAUUUUUUUUAAAUAUAUUUUUUGAGACAGAGUCUCGCUGUGUUGCCCAGGCUGGAGUGCAGUGGCACGAACUUGGCUCACGGUAACCUCUGCCUCCCAGGUUCAAAUGAUUCUUGUGCCUCAGCCUCCCGAGUAGCCGGGACUACAGGUGCCCACCACCAUGCCCAGCUAAUUUUUGGAUUUUUAGUAGAGAGGGGGUUUUGCCGUGUUGGCCAGGCUUGUCUUGAACUCCUGAGCUCAAGCGAUCUGCCCAACUCAGCCUCCUAAAGUGCUGGAAUUACAGGUGGGAGCCACCACUCCCGGCUCCACUUUGAAUUUUGAUUUGAAGAGUAAUAUAUAGUAUUUGACACUGAGAAAAACUGCAUUCAACUGUUCUUCAUCCUUGAUGCUCCUAUAGAAAUAGUUGUGAAAAAAAGAAUCAUGAGAAAGUGCCAAGGAGGAUUGACACACCUGACCAGAUGGCACAGAGGAGCACGGGGUAUAAAACAAUGCAGGGAGGAGGCUGGGAGCAGUGCACUUGGCAUAUGUGAGCUGCACUUCAUAGGCACUGUUAGUAAAUGAUAUAUCUUUAAGUUUAGAGUAUUGAGAUUUGGGGUAUCUUAAAAUUUCUAAUUCUGUGACUUUUAAAAUUAAAUGAUAUGUAAGCUUCCUUUUUGGAGUUGGCUUUCUAGUAAAGAGAACUAUCCUUCACUAUGGCAUAACCUCUGAGUAUAAAACUCAUUUCCCCAACACUGUUGAAUGUAGAAAAGUUCUCUAGGAUCAGUUUAAAUGUCAAGGUGAAGUUCUAGAAAGGAGCCCUUCCUUAGCACCUCCACCCCUCAUCAUGAAGCCUACUUGGUGGCAAUAACAUGCAUAAUAAUUGGCUGUAAGAUGUGUUCCUGUAGCAAAACUUUUGGCUGCUUCUCAAGAUUCGAAUCUGGGCUUCUGGUUCUCAGAAGCUCCUGACCCAAGCCUUUGGGGUGGCAGGCGCACCAGACAGGACCUGGUUGCUUACUUCUUGCAUUCCAGCUGGACUGGUUUCUAUUCAUGGUAGAUGCUCCAAAUUAGUUCAGUGACAACUUCACCACAGGCGUGGUGGGUUCAUUUAAAUAUGGGUCACUCCUUGACCCCAAGGUUAUGUUGUUGAAAUGAUUAUUGCGCCCAUGUGCUGGAGUAUCAUUGAUUCACAUCAUUGGCUCUCAAUCUUGGCAGUGAUUAAAAAUCACCUGGGGACCAUUUAAAUAUCAGGAUGCCCAGGUGGCAUCCAAGGUAAUUAUCUGAGAAUCUUGCAGGAUGGGAGUCAGGUGGCAGUGUUUUUAAAAUUCCCCAGAUGGUCUGGUGUGCAAUCAGUGCUGAGAACUAAUGAUUCAGAACCAUUUCCUAUUGUAUUCCCUUCCAUUUGACUAUUGUGGUGUGUGGUGUCAAGUGUGUGCACCUUGCUUAUGGAAACCACAUGGAAAAUCGUAAUAGCAAUUGCCCUAAGUCUAGUGAGUUUACUCAGGUUGUCUCUUAUUUUGCCCCAGGACUUUUUUGAAGGAAAUAUAGAUGUGAAUACAGUUAUGAGUACAAUUGAAUAGCUAAGUAUGCACACAUAUACUCAGUGUCCACAUGUACGCACAUUUCUGUAUGAAUAUGUGCAGUGAGACAAAAUACCAUUCAGCUUUUGUUUUGACUUUGCCUAGCUCCUACACUGCCUUCCUCUCCCUCCUGCCCCUUAAAACCAGGAAAGGUUAAAUUGGGGUAGAUAUUAAAGUAUUUUGUAGAAAAUUACAUACUUUUCCCAGAGAUCUUUCUAGUGACCCCUGACCUCUGAUCACCAGGUCCCUGGCUCUGGAGACUGGACCUUGUUUCUUCUGUCUAUAAAUAGUUGACCCAAGUACGACCUUUUCCCUUCCGUGUGACCAGAUGCUAAUACCCUUCAGGCUAAUCUUUCUUUCCUUCACCUCUCUUGUUUCUCCUCACCGCAUGCUGCUGUGCCCAAGGCCCAGCUGGUAACCUCUGCGGUUUUUAAUGUGCAUUUUUUUCUCAGCAGGAUUAUUCAACUUGUGCUUUGAUUAUCACCUCAAAUUGUCAUCUCUGGCUCUACACACUGAAAUGUCUACAGGCACUUCUGGUUUUGUUUUUGAGACAGGGUCUCGCUCUGUCGCCCAAGCUGGGAUGCAGUGGCACAAUCCUGACUUACUACAGCCUUGACCUCUUGGUCUCAAGCUAUUCUCCUACCUCAGCCUACCGAGUACCUGAGACUACGGGUGCAUGCCAUCAGCCUGGCUAAUUUUGUUUAUUUUUUGUAGAGAUGAGAUUUCUCUAUGUUGCCCAGGCGGGUUUCAAACUCCUGGACACAAGCAAUCCUCCUGCCUCAGCCUCUGAAAGUGCUGGAAUUAUAGGCAUGAGCCACCACACCCAGCUUACAGGCACUUCUGAGUUGCAUUCGUGCCUGCUCCUGAGGUUUUGUGGUGCCAUCUUUUGUGAUUUGAAGCUUUUUCUGGGAGGGCUUACCUUUGGCAGCAUGAUUUCCUAUCCUUUUCUCCUCUUUGCAGCUAGCAUAUGUCUAACUAUGAAGUCCAAGGCAAAAAUGAAGAGGUCAGUAGUGGAUAUUGGAUGGGACUGAUUCCUAAAUAAGAGUAUCUUUGAUUUCUCUUUAAGAUUAUAUGGAAACUGAGCAUGUGUGAGGCUGUGAGGUCUGAAGCUCAAAACUAACACUAAUUGUUUAGGGGUAAUUCUAACCUACUAUUUUGUGCAAGGUCUCUGGAGUCUGGCUGCCUGGGUUCCAAUCUCAGCUCCACCACUUGGUACCUGUGGGAUCUUGGGCAUGUCAUGUAAGCAUUCUCUUCCUCAGUGUCUUCCUUUUUAAAAUAGGGUAUUGGUAAUAUCGUCACAGGGAUUAAAUUAGUUGAUACUAAAGUUCUUAGAACAGUGCUUGACACAGCAUAGGCACCAAGUGUUUGUUAUGGUUCUUGUCAUGAUUACUGAAGAUUAGUAUUGCAUUACUGUGAAACGAUGGGCACACCCUGGCAUGCUAAGUUUCUUCCUUAAGCCGUUUUUUAUUUAUAAUAGUAAGCUCUCCAUAGUGAAGGCAUCAGAAUGUAAUGAUGAUUCAGGCCUCAUUGUAGCUGUGUGAUCACACUGUCAUAGGCUGGCACUGGGAUCAAAGGCAUCAUUAAAGCACUUGGGAUGAUGGUUUUUACCUGUCAAAUGUUCCAGGAGGUUGCUGUACACUGGCCUGUGAGACCCUUAGAUUGUGUUAUGUGAUCACGCUAAACACCCAUAAAAGCCCUUCUUGGCUUUUUUUUUUUUUUUUUUUUUUGAGACAAAAUCUUGCUCUGGUGCUCUGUCACCCAAACUAGAGUUAAGUGGCACCAUCAUGGCUCACUGCAGCUUUGACAUCUGGGCUCCAACGAUCCUCCCAUCUCAGCCCCCUGAGGUAGCUGGGACUACAGGUACACGCCACUAUUCCUAGCACCAGCUAAUUUUUUUUUUUGUCUCUUUUUGUAGAGACAGGGUGUCACCAUGUUGCUCAGGCUGGUUUCGAACUCAAGUGAUCCUCCUGCCUCGGCCUCCCAAAGUGCUGGGAUUACAGGCGUGAGCCACCGCACCUGGCCCAUAGUUUUAAAUUUUAAGUCCUUUGCUAAAAUAUUGCCACAUAGGUUAUGUUGCUUUAAGCCAUAGAGAGAUGGACCUCCUAACACCCGUUGUGACUUUAAACAAGGCACUAUCACCACAUUGAAUAUGCUUCUCUACCAGGAAAAUAGAGGAAACAUACAACUUGCCUUCCACGAGAUGUUCAUGAGAAGCAGGAGGCAGUUUGGGUUUCUUCAAGCAAAGUACAUACAUGAAAUAGAAAAUAUCAGUAAGUUAUUAAAGUCACAAAUUUUAGAAGAAACUUUCUUAAGUUGUAGAGGACCAUUUACAAGGUGUAUCCUGGGUGUGGUGUGUGGGCAUGUGGGUGAGGCACAUUUCUCACUAAGAAAAUGAUAUCUUGUUCAACUUGGAAUUUAGAAUUUUAUAUCUUUUAAAAAAUUUCAGCCAGGCAUGGUGGCUCACGCCUGUAAUCCCAGCACUUUGGGAGGCCGAGGCCGGCUGAUCACCCGAGGUCGGGAGUUCGAGACCAGCCUCACCAAUGUGGAGAAACCUCUGUUUCUACUAAAACUACAAAAUUAGCUGGGCUUGGUGGCACAUGCCUGUAAUCCCAGCUACUCGGGAUGCUGAGGCAGGAGAAUCGCUUGAAAAGAGGAAGGUGCGGUGAGCCGAGAUUGUGCCAUUGCACUCCAGCCUGGGCAACAAAAGCGAAACUCCAUCUCAAAAAAAAAAAAAAAAUUCAUAACUUCGUAAAUCUGAAAAUAUGUCAUUUCCUCAGAUGGGUCCUGGGUUUAGAUUCUCCCAGCAAUGCUCCCAAAUUGUCUUUUUGUAUACAGUAGCCACUGUGGAAAUUGAUUAAACAAGUGUUCCUGAUGCCACCUUUGAAAUAUUAAAAUGUGUUAUUCAGUAAAAAUAGAACUGAAUUAUUAUUGAAAAUAAGUUUUGUAUGGAUUUACUUAACACUAGGAAUAAACCCAUCCCAAUAUCCUGGUGAAGAUGCCCUCCCUGUGUAUAUAAAAAGAUACAUCCAUAUGCUUUGUGCAGUGACUGUAUAAGGCCCAGAUAGAGAAAAAAUACAAGAGAUGUCUCAACAGUUGAAAGUAUUGAAAUAAAUUGAGAAGAGGGAAGCUAUUUUUAGUCUAGAAGACCUAUGAGACUCGAACAACUUUGGAUAGAAAAACCCCAUAAUCUUAUAAUCCAGUGAGGCCUCACAGGGAAGAGCCCUAGGUUGGCAUUUCAGAUUCAAUCCUCGGUAUCCCAGCUGUGUCUAAAAUGGACAGAUUUGAGAAUGUCAGUUCUUCAACUUAUUUACAAACUGAUCAGGUCCAAUAUUUAUCUGCUGCUUGCUGAGAACAGCAUCAAAGUUUAAAAAAAAAAAAAAGAAAGAGAAAGUUUCCAACCAUCAAGCAAGUGUGCAACACAAAUCUAAACCAUAUAUGUGAUGAGACCCACAUGUCAUUGUGAGAGUGUUGCAGGACUCAUUAAUGACACCCACAGUAGCAAGUAAGUCUUCAAGAAACCUUUGGAAGAGAGAAGGCCUGUAUAUGAAAUGCCAGAAGGAAGGGGCAAAAGGUUCAGAACUAGGACUCUGGGUAUGGAGUUCAGACACCUGUGAAUUGGGCAUUCUGAACCACUUGUACAAUGUGCAAAGCUGAUUUUUUCUUACCAUAGCACAGGGUUGCUUUCUAUUACAGAUGUACCUAUCUGGAAACAUGUUCAUUCAACAGUUUGCAGUCCUGCAGUUAUUUUCAAAACAGUUUUUGCUUCCCUCUUUUUGUAGUAAACACGGUCUUUUUCCAGUGUGCUAGAUAAAGUCUGGCUCUGGGCAGUAAAGGGACAUGGCUGCUGCUUAUUUCAGGAACUUAGGGGCAAGUGUCUUCAUGCCUGUGGAAACAGGAGCCAGCUAGUACUAUUUCCAGCAAGAAAUUUAAGAGAAAGGAGAGAUUUUUAUUAUGAUUUUGAUUUCUUUACUACAACAUUGCAUGUGUCUGGAGUAUAGCCAUUACACUUUAUGAAAAAGGCAAAAUGGUCAUUUGGGGUGUUUUAGGAAGUUUGCCAAAAGGCUCCUUUGUCAUUAUAAUCCUUCCUAAGCUGCCAUCCACGGGUUUAGGUCAUGGAUAUGAAAAGUGAAAGGGUUUAGAGAUGAAGUAGUGUCCCCUGAGUGCUUACCAACCUGUUAAUCUUUUUGAGAUGUUAAUUUUUUCAUAUAGAGCCCCCUAAAAUCUUGAUGGCUCUAGAUCAGUCAAGCCUAAGAGAAGACGUAUUUAUGGAAAAAAACAAAAAACAAAAAAACCUUGCUGGAUUGCUAGUAAUAUCUACUUCUUGGAAAUUAAUACUUCAUAUUUUUUAAAAAAAUUAUUGAUGCAUUAGGAAUAUUUUUUGCUUAGCAGUUACAAAUUUUAAGAGGCACAUAUACACCACGGAAUACUAUGCAGCCAUAAAAAAGGAUGAGUUCAUGUCCUUUGUAGGGACAUGGAUGAAGCUGGAAACCAUCAUUCUCAACAAACUAUCGCCAGGACAAACAACCAAACACCGCAUGUUCUCACUCACAGGUGGGAACUGAACAGUGAGAACACUUGGACACGGGAAGGGGAACAUCACACACUGGGGCCUGUCGUGGGGUGGGGGGAGCGGGGAGGGAUAGCAUUAGGAGAUAUACCUAAUGUAAAUGAUGAGUUAAUGGGUGCAGCACACCAACAUGGCACAGGUAUACAUAUGUAACAAACCUGCACAUUGUGCACAUGUACACUAGAACUUAAAGUAUAAUUUAAAAAAAAAAGAAAAAAAAAGAUGACAAAUACUAAAAAAAAAAGAAAAAAAAAGCUUCUAAGCUUGGCACUCAAUCCUAAAUAUCUUAUAUCUUUAUAAUUUAGCUUAAAGGCUUUUAGUGUUCUGGUUGGUUACUGACAAUUCUCAGUGUGGCUUUCACUGAAGGAAAAUGGACCAAGCCUCAAACUUACCCACCACAAUUAUAUAAUUUGGCAUUUCUGUGAGGCACUUCCUUCCUCUAGGUUGGUUUCAGAACUAUGCUGGAGAAUUGUAUGUAAUUUUUUUUUCUUUUGUCAGAAUUGGUGUGUUAGGCCUUUUUUUGUGUCACUUAAACACCUGAGGCUAGGCAAUUUAUAAAGAAAAAAGGUUUAAUUGGCUCAGGGAUCUGCAGGCUGUACAAGCGUGGCACUGACAUCUGCUCGGCUUCUGCUGAGGGUCCCAGGAAGCCUACAAUCAUUGUGGAAGGUGAAGCGGGAGCAGGCACAUUCACAUGGCAAGAGAGUGGUGUGAGGGGAGGUCCCAGACUUUUAAACAACCAGACCUUAUGUAAACUAACUGAGGGAGAACUUACUUAUCACCACGGGGAAGGAGCUAAACUAUUCAUGGAGGUUGCACCGCCAUGAUCCAGUCACCUCCCACCAGGCCCCACCUCCAACAUUGGGGGUUACAUUUCAACAUGAGAUUUGGAGGAGACAAGCAUCCAAACUGUAUCAAUUGGUUUCAGUUAAUAAAUAAACCAAAAAAUAAAGUUUAAUGCCUCAAACCUUCAUACGCUUUUCUCAUGAAAAGCGUUUUAUCCAACCCUCUCUCCAUCCCCAUGUACGGAUCUAUGUACUUUAGUUUCUACUGAUUGAGAAAGUGGGGUUACUUCAUUAUAAUAGAGAAGGAUUUUUUGUAAUCUAUAUAUCUGUACUUUUGAAUCAUUUAAUGUUCAGAUGAACAGGCUGCUUAGUUCUCAUUAAAAGGGUUCAUUUGAUAAUGCUUUUAAGCUCACCAGUACUUGAUUCUCAAAGGGUGAUCAUUAGUGAAAAUAAAGAGGGAUUUAAUAAGUCUAAGAUAUCCUGACCCCAACUGUAGGAACAUUAUAUUAAUAGAGCAUUACAGUAUUGGAAAAUUAUCUGAGUAAAUAGAAUCCAUCCUAUUCAAUGAAGAUUAUGAUCAUUGAUACAUAAGCCUUUGACUUUUGAAUGGCAUGCUUUCGUUCGCAGCAUGUUGACUUGAAUGUGGGAAUGGAGUAUCUUAAUCUCUCUGAGGUCACUGACUGAUAGGUUAAGUGUCAGCUGGGCUCAGCCCAAACAUUAGAUGUUGCUGGGAAGGUAUUUUGUAACUAUGAUUAACAUUUACAAUCAGUUGACUUUAAGUAAAGGGGAUUAUCCUGGCUAUGGGUGGGCCAAAUCCAAUCAGGUGAAGGCCUGGGAAAGAAGAAGAAGGAGGAAGUCUGCCUUAAGACUGUGACAUGGAAAUCCUGCUUGAGUUUCGAGCCUGCCAGCCUGCUGCACAGAUUUCACACUUGUUUGUCCCCACAGUGGCAGCAGCCAUUAUUCCUUAAAAUAAGUCUUUAUAUACAAUAUAUUUCUCUCCAGAGAAACAACCAAAAAUACUAUUGGUUCUAUUUCGUGGAAGAAUCCUCACUGAUACACUCACCCUCAAGAAGAAAAUUAACAGUUUUUACCCAGAAUCAUACAAAUCGCUUUAUUUAAGAGAUAAAAUUUAAUAAUUAAUCUUUCCUGAUUUUUGAAGGUAAAAACAGGAUAUUACGCUUUCAGUAAAAAAAUGGAUGUCUUUUAAUUUCAGGGGGGUUUAGGAGAAAGAAAUGGAAAGAGUGGCAAAGUAGCAAAGGAUGGUGAUACGGUUUAGAUAUGGUUUCAUGUUGAAAUAUGACAUCCAAUGUUAGAGGCAGACCUAGUGGGAUAUGUCUGGGCCAUGGGAGCCGAUCUUAUGAAUGGCUUGGUACUCCUCUUAUGGUAAUGAGUGAGUUCUCAUUCUGUUCGUUCAUGUGAGAGCUGGUUGUUUAAAAGAGCCCGAUAUCUCUCUUGCUCCAUUGCCAUGUGACACACCUGUUUCCCUUUCUCCUUCUGUAAACGUCCUGAGCCCUCAACAGAAGCAAAUACCAGCACUGUGCUCCUUGUACAGUCUGCAGAACUCUAAGCCAAAACAAAACUUUGUAAAUUAUCCAGUCUCAGGUAUUUAUAGCAACACAAAACGGACUAACACAGAUGGGAUUGAGGAAAAGUCUUAAAACAUUCUGAAAUGAAUGUUCUUCACCUGUCCGAUGCUUUGCUGUCCUAAAGACUUAAUGCUGUCACUAUCCUUAAAAUGCCCAAAAAGUCAUACACUGAAUUGGUUUGCUGUUCUUUAGUAUCGCUCUUCAUUUAGAUUUCAUCUCUCAAGUCACAUAGCUAUAGGGAUCCACCUAUAACAAAUUGGCUCAUUGAGGGGAAAACUCUCUUAUUCAUCUUUAUCAGUAGGUUUUUUGUUGUUGUUUUAGAUGGCGUUUCACUCUUGUUGCCCAGGCUGGAGUGCAAUGGCCCAAUCUCGGCUGACUGCAACCUCUGCCUCCUGGGUUCAAGCGAUUCUCCUGCCUCAGCCUCCCGAGUAGCUGAGAUUACAGGCAUGCGCCACCAUGCCCGGCUAAUUUUGUAUUUUUAGUAGAGAUGGGGUUUCUCCAUGUUGGUCAGGCUGGUCCCGAACUCCCGACCUCAGGUGAUCCACCCGCCUUGGCCUCCCAAAGUGCUGGGAUUACAGGCAUGUAUAUCAGUAGGUUUUCAUUACAUUGUGGGUGAGAGAAUGUGGGAAGUCUGGAAGCCGCAGGUGCGGAGAUCAGAGUAGUGUGGCCCUCUUCUAACCCAAACACCUGGAGAAGGUUCAGUUGUUUCUGUGAUUUAGCAUUUAAGGCUAAAACCUCGGGACCAUCAGUUGAAUAAGUAAAAUAAUGAAACGCAGAGUUGCUUACAAAAUGAAGCCAUGCGAGUAAGUAUGUGCACAGGUACAGCAAAGGAGAGGGCUUUAUCUCAGCCUUGCUUUUUCCCUCUGCCUGAGUGUUCUCUCUUGGUUAUAUAACUCGACUUUCCAUUUGCAUCAAGUCAUGGAAUCUCAGGAUCAGAAGAAGCUCUAGAGAUUAAAAAAAAAAAAAAUUCAACCUGUAAACAGUGCAUUAAUCCAACAUCAUCAUUCCAAAUCAGUGUUUGUGCACAGCUAUCUUCAAUGUCAAGAAACAUAACUUUUUACAUUCUGAUAACUUAACAGUCCCUGGUCCCAGUUUUCUCUUCCAGAACUAAAUUUACACUUCCACUAAAAGUGUAAAUUCUUCCAUAUGUUAACCUUUAAUUCUGUUAUUUUAUUCCUCUGGAGUCUUGUCUUAUUUUCUUCUAUGUUAUGUCUCCUAUGUUAUGGCCUAGAAUAUUUAUGGUAAGUCCUAGGUCACUCUCUUCUGAAAGUGUUCUCAUUUAUCAUCCUAUUUCAAAUAUCUUGCGAGUACCAUGUAGUAUGAGGACCAGUAAACAGAGAACGCUUGUCCUCCUAUUAGGCACGCUGGUGUCUGCCGAUUCCACUGUGACACUUAGGGUUUUUACUUCCUCAGUGCGCUGAUGAUGUUUAGUGAGCUUGUUGUCCAAGUGCUCGCUUUGUUUCUGGGGCAGCUUGGGUAGGUCUUCAUUUUGUACCUGUCCAGUUGAACUUUUUUUACAUAUAAAAAGAUAUGUUCCUGUUUAUUCUUACUGAAUGGAUAAGAAUAUAGCCUAUUCAGUGGGAAUAAACUGAAUAGGCUGUAUCCUGUCUAAGUAUAGCUCAUUAUUUCAUUCUUUGAGAUCAUUUUGGACCUGAGUCUAUCCAUCUCUUAGCUUUCUUUUUUCUAUGGAUAUAGAGCACUUGUUCUCAUAUUAAUCUUUAAUAAAAACAUAACUACCUUUCUUUGCAUUGCCCACUUCUCCAUCUUUCAUCUGGACUAUUGCAGGAGCUUGGUAUUCACGUUCAAGCCUAUGGAUAAGUUUUUCACACUGCUAGAGGGGUGUCUGUUAAAAAAACACAAACAUGAUUGAUUCUCAUAUUCCUGUUUUUACGUCUAUCCCUAUGACCACCAUUUGAUCCCUUUUCUUUACUUGGACGAAGUAGUUACAUAGCUAGUCUCUGUCCCGUCUCUCUCUUUCUCACUUCAAGUUCAUCCUGGCCUGUCUGGAUCACACAUUUAGCUAUCAAUACCCUUCAGUGGCUCCCCACUGCCUCUGUUUGGUGAAAACAUUAUGCCUUUGGCUCUGUAUCCUCUCUGAUGGCAUGCCCCAAAGCACCCCAUCUGUCAUCUUUAACAUGAUUUUACUACUCCUAAAGCAAAGCAAGUCAAGGAACCAUAGUUUCAUUUUCUUUCUAAUGGUGUGGCUCAACAAUAAAACUAAAUUAAACACUAAAUUAAACUGCUCACAGACCCUCAGUGAAUUAGGUAACUUACAGAAACACAGUCCGGGCAUCUGUAUGAAUCUUCUGUUGAACCCAGCGAUUGAUUUCUUUCCCUCAUUUGGAAUCUAUAAAAUUGGAUUUCUUAGCCUAAUUAUCGUGAGAAGAGAGGACAGUCUUUGCACAUUUAACUUUUAUCAAGUAAUUCAGAAGUUCAUGUAGUGCACAUUAAUAAAGUAUUAUCAAUGAGAGUAAUGAACAAGAGGGCUGAGAGGCAUUCCAUUAUGUGCUACUGGGUUAAGGUUUAAUGUGGCAUUUCACACCUAACAUUUAGGAAAGGGUUUUAAAGCUUAGUAUCCACACCUUACAUUUGUAUAAAUGAAUCCCUAGCGUUUGAAAUUUGUUUAUGAUAGAGCAGACAUGGGAAAAUGGACUCUGUAGGCACCAUGAAGUGUUUUGCAGUGAAGAUUUAUAGAAAUGUUGUAAAAGGCACCACAGGGACCUGGUACUUCUGGCUGAUGGCAUCACCGCUACUAGGGCAGUAUUUACUGUUUUUCUUAUAUGCCUGUUAACAAAAAGUGGUCAAAUAAAGAAGAUCAAAGCAAAUCUGCCUCUUCCUUUCAAAGGGAUGAUAUUUCUUUGUGCAGUAUUUCUUUAUCCAGCCUCUUCUAUGCUAUGCAUGAUGCUGCAAGAUGGCAGAAUGUUGUGCCUUUAUCGUCACAAAAGCCAUCAGUAAGUGGCAUAAUUCUAGGAAACUCUGAGGCUGCCCUUUAACUUCAAGAAUAGAGUGGCAAAGAACCAGCUGGGACCCUUUGUUCCUUAGUGGUUGUUUGAUUCCAUGUCAACCUGUGCUGGCUUUGUCAUUUUCAAAAUCAUGCAAAGUUUUUAAGUUGCAUAAAAAUAUUGUUAAAACUCCUGCUAGAAGUAAAUUUCAGUUUAUCUUGGGGAGAUGCAUUAAAUACUUAAAAGAUUGCUGAAGUCCGGUAGUUUUGAAGAAUUAACCAUCUCUUCGAAUGUUGAAACGUGGAAAAGAAUUUUGGCACUUCUGGACCCUGAUGAAAAGUAAAUAACUUAUACAUACGUGGAACUUGUAAUUUACUGGUGACAGGCCAUUCAAUCCAGCAGUAAUAAUUUCUGUUUUCAGCUACAGCCAUUGAAUAGUACAAAUUAGGCUCUUUUUUCUUUCAAUAAUGUUUUUGUAAAGCUCACUGGGCUUUUAGAAAGGGAAAUUUUAGGUAUGUUUCUCACUGGUUAAGCAGAUUUCUUGGAUUCAUUCAUGGAGUGUGCUGUUUUCCAACUUUAUGGUCACACAAGUCUAGGAAGCAUAAAUGUGAACAGAAAGCUGACUCUAUGUGUGCGUAUGUGUAUGCAGGUGACUACAUGUUAGUCUUUUAUAUAGCAUUGUGACAGCUAGGCCCAAGUCAUGAGCUUACUUCCCCAAAGAUCAGCAAGUUUGACUCUGUUUCAUAUUCAUCCAACUCACAGGUUGGACAUAGGCCAGAGAUGCCAACCAGCCAGGGUAGGAGGACAAAGAGACAUAAAUUUAUUGUGGACCAAGCGGGUGGGGCCUGCAGUUGCUCGGGGGCCUAUUGGACUGUUUUAAUCAUAGUAGCUGAGUGGUAAUGUUUUUACCCAUAAAUGUGAAUACAUUUUGAAAUUAUACUGCAGAAUAUUUUUACGCAAUAUAAAGCCAAUCUAGUUGUAAAAUCUACCAUUUUGCACUAGGCAGUGCCUCAUUUCUCUCAAAUUUGUACAAAGCCUCUAUUAAUACAACAUUUAUCACUUUAACAAUUUAAAGAAAGUAAUUGCAAAACCUUACUGAUUGUUGGAGGGCUGCAUGCCCAUUUCCCAUGGGGACUGAUUUAAGCCUCUGUAUCUGCAUGUGACAUGCAAGGAUAGUUGUGCCACAUCUAAUUGAAAAUGCUCCUUAGUGCUGGAGAAGAGUUCAGGAGGCUGGGCGCGGUGGCUUAUAACCUUUAAUCCCAGCACUUUGAGAAGCCAAGGUGGGUGGAUCACUUGAGGUCAGGAGUCAAAGACCAGCCUGGCCAACAUAGUGAAACCCCAUCUCUACUAAAAAUGCAAAAAAAAAAUUAGCUGGGUGUGGUGGCAGAUGCCUGUAAUCCCAGUUACUCAGGAGGCUGAGGCAGGAGAAUCACUUGAACCCGCGAGGUGGAGGUUGCAGUGAGCCAAGACUGCGACUGCACUCCAGCCUGGCGACAGCGAGACUCCAUCUCAAAGAGUUCAGGAAUUCAGAGUAGUGUUUAUUUUACUUUGGCGGAUAUUUAAAUUUAAGGUCUCACCAUAUCCCUUUCCGUAUUUGCCUUUGGUUUGGAUCAAAAUGUAAAAGGGAAUUGCGAGAAGAUGGUACCCACACCUCUACAGGGAUCAAGCCACAGUAUUCCUGGAAUUCCCCAGGAGCUAACCCCUAUAUCCAUUAAAGAUUGGGUGUGAACAUUUAAGAAACUAAUCUCAAAUGAAUUUAUGUCUUAAGUGAAAAAUGUGUCCUUUAUAAGGGAAGGAAAAAAAUCCUUUAUUGUUAUUAUUUGAUCUUGUGCUGUUUGCUUUUCUGUGACAGUGACACAGCUAGUUGAUGUUGGGGUCAGGAUUUACACGACAGCAGGAUGAGAGCAUCUUGACUCAGUGGAGAUAAUGUGUUAGUUAUUAGAGCAGCAGCUAGCUUUGUUUGGAAGCUGUAAGCUGUAUUUGGGUGACAAACAUUUCUAAAUGAAAUUAGUCAUUUGCUUAAUACAGAUUUUCAUUUUCUUUACCAAAAGGUAGUUUCAAGUAUGCUUAUUUUGUAUGUGGGGUUUUUUUUGUUAUUAUUUUGCUUUUUUGUUUUGUUAUGCUUUUGCUAUUGUAAAUACUGACCUGACUCUCUUGAAGUAGAGGAAAGAAGCUAAUGUGGAUUUGAAAAUAUUUUCAUUUCACAAAUAGUAUGAUAUUGAUGUAUAUUACACCUGUGUUUAUUGAUCAUCUGAUUAAAGAAAAAUAAUAGGAAAUAACAAAUCAUGUCUCAUUCAAGAAUAAAAGUUUACAAAUAUAGAAAAUUAUGGAAGUAUGUUACGUUUACAAUUUGUAUCCAUUUUUUUAUUUCUUAAACAAUAAGAUCUUAUAUGCGUCCUCCCUUUCCUUCCAUCUCCACAUAAAUUGGAGAUCGAUCUAGGAUUCUAAAACAUCUGGGUCAAACAUUUGUCAUCGGGAGAAGCACUGGACUAGGAGGAAGAUGGUCUAAAUUUUAAUUGUAGACUUGCUGCCAACUAACAUUUGACCUAGGCAAGGAAUUUCACUUCGUGAGAUUCAGCUUCCUCGCAUGUAAAACGAUGCUGACUCACUUGCUUUCUCAGGCCCAUUCAGCUCCAAAACUCCAUUCUAUUUUAUUCCAAAGACCCACUGCACAGAUUGACACAAUUUAAAAUAAACUCUAAAACUGAAAUUUCCUGCGUUUCUUCAUGCCAGAGAUCUAAAUACAUGUGAACUUAAUUAAAUCAAGCAGCCUGUGGAGGGAAAGAGUUCUUAAGAUUCAUUUAUUUUUUUCAGCAUGUGUUUGCUCACAAUUUAGUACAUCCCCCAGCACCAUGCUGGACAAUAAGAGUAGAUACAAAGAAGUACUUCCUGGUAGCAUUGAUAGUUGAACUGGAAAUACCUUGAAAAUAAUUACAAAGCAAAAAAUGGACUAGUUACAGCAAACUAUUAUAAAGUAUAAUAAUAGUUGGUAUUUAUUAAGCACUUCAAGUUGCUAGCACUACACGCAUUUAAUCCUCACCCUAAUACCAUAGGUAAAUGAUAGUCAUCACCCCAAUUUUACAGAGAAAACGGAGGCACUGAGAGAGUUAAGUGAAUUGUCCAAAGUUACUGUUCCACGCAAGAGAUUUAGAGAGGAUAUUGUACUUGCCUUAGACUCCCUUGGGCCCUCUUUUGGGUAAGUAGGUUUAAGUACUGAGAAAAAGUAAGGGAGUAGUUGGGGAGUGGGAGGAUUGCUUUUGACUUGCUAAGCAGACUUGAUUUUUAUUAAAACACAAAAGCAAAAAAAAUGUUUUUUCUUAAUUUGGCAGUUGGCAUGUUUUAAUGUCAUUUAUUGUAAAUUUUUUUUGGAGACAGCACACAUUUUAAGCAGUCUAGAAGUGGAGAGUCUUAAAGUGAGAUAGCUUAUUUCAGGAGAAAACAAUAGUCACAUGAUUCUGUGCUUUGAAGAAAACGAUCCAAAAAAGAGCUAAAAUUGGGUCAAGUGUUGAGCAUUGCUCAGCACCGCUGGUAGCAACUGCCCAGAGCGGUAGGGAUUGAGGGUGGGGGGUGUGCUGGGUGUAAUAGAGACAGGUUUUUCUCCUUUGGAGAAUUCCCCAGUAUAGGUUCUGUCCUUGAAACUUGAGUUGCAGAGGAGACACUCCACGUUGUGAUCUCUGGUGGGAGCCAGCAUAGUUCUUCCCUUGCCUGUCUUCACCAGAGGGUUUCAGGGACAUGGCACUGGUGGCCCUCAUGACUGGUGCUGCCAACCCUGUUCUUAUACAUGCUCUGGGGUGGUAAGAAUGUCAGGAAAGUAAAGUGAGCUGCUCUGUGGGUACCAGCCAUGCCUUCAUUCAUCCAGGGGCUUGCAAACAUUGUUAUGAUAGACAACCUGGCCCAGAAAAGAAGAAAAAGCCUUUCUUCCUCAGGCUUCUGUCUCCAUACUGAGGAGUCUACUGCUGCUUGUGCAAGCAAAACUCUUUCUCCUCCCAUCCUGCUGCGCUGCCGCUGAGAGGAAGAGGGAGCUGCCCAGCGGCCUCACGCUGUAACCCUCUGCUGGUGAGUUCCCAGAACCCAGCAUCCUGCAAGCUGCCGCUUCUCAGCUGGGGAGAUGGAGCCGCUCUGGGCCCUUCUUGAUUAGGAUAUGUUAGGGUUGUCAGGGCAACUGUUAACGGCAGCAUAUCAUAUUUUCCCCUCUCUGCUGUGGGCUGAAUAUUUUACUGUGUGGUAGCAGGAAGAAGAUUGGAAAAAGGUGCUGCAGCAGGAAGAAGCUGGGAUCUGAUUGAACAGGUUGUGCAGUGGUGGGAGGCAUCAGACCCUGCGUGUCUGUAGUAGGGCUUUUCUGGAAGGAGUGUGUGUGUGUGUGUGUGUGUGCGCGCGCGUGUACGUGCAUGCAUGAGCCGGAGCAAUCACCAGCGCAUGUGCCUGUCGGGGAGUCAGUGGGAGGGGGCUGGUAGGGGAGGUGGGGAAGCUGCUGCUAGGUGAGGGGAACUGCAGGGCCUCAGUUGCCAAGUGGCUGGUACUAUCUGUCAGCUGUUUGCAAACUGUUUACCCAUAGGGGAUCUAUUACAAGUGCUCAAAUGAACAGGCAGCUUAGGAACUAGCAGCUUCCUGGGAGCUGCAAUUACAUAAGCAUAUAUUUUUAAUAUAAUCACAAUUAAAAAAAAAAAAAACAAGUAGCAGCGGUAUGCCUGGAUCAGCUACAGCUCUCCGACAUGAGAGACUGAAGAAGACCAAUGCAAGGCCAAUUCCUCUUGGUUUAUUCACCAUUAAUGAGGAAGACGAACAGCAAAAGAAUGGAAAUUCCAGAAGACCAAAAGGUAUGCAUUAGCUCCACCCUUUGGUCGGAGCCAGAUCCAGCCCUUGUCUCCCACACUGCCUAUAGAACGUUUUAUAAACUGUGCUGCUCGUGCAUGCUCCAGGGAGUGCUUGUGACCUCCUAGCACGGUUUGCUGGUAGUGUUUAUACCCUCUGUAGGGUUGUGUAUGCAUGAAAUGGGAAACAGUUUUUGUAGAUUCGGUGUAUUUCAGAUCAGUUGCCUUUUUUGACUUAAGCUACUUUCUUGGCCUAGAGAUGUUUAAUUUUUCCCAUGCUCACUUCAGCAGUGACCAGUCACUCUGUCCUCAUCAAGAGGAGGAAAUACUGAGUUAUCAAGGUUUAAACGAACAUCUCCCCACCUUCCUUAGGUGCCUCAGAUAAUUUUUGCUUAUUUUAAUGAAGUGAGUUUCUGCUUUAAAGGAUGAGUUAAAGUGACUCAAGAGUGCAACCUUUUCUAGGCAGAGGGUCAAAAUGUCACUUCCCUUUCUAUACUAAAAUGUCAAGAGUAAAGAGGAGCACAGCAAACAUUGAGGGCGAAUGUGGAGGGUGAAGCUAGGGAGCAGGGAGGAGAUCAUGAGGUUGUAUAACUGUUGAUGAUAACUGAAUUCGUGUAUGGCAGUUGAAAUGCACAGGUUACAGAAAAGGGAAGUCUGACCCUUGUGUUGUUCUUUCACAGUAUGAAAGGUAGCAGCAGCUUACCAGCUUCUUGAGAGCCUGUGUACUGCAUCAUUGUCAGCAUUGUCUCACAGCUGCCCUCCCAGGGCUGUAAUUAUCAGCCAGAGACAGCAACAUCAGACAUUUUUGAAAAAGGAGCUUUAAGGCCUGUGUUUUACAUUUUCCAGCAUCCUAAGUCUUGCUUCCCCUUCCCCAAAAUAUAUAAGCUGUUCUUAAACAGAUGGGUUAUGAGUUUUCUUGCUUUUAUGUGCUGAUUAAUUUUUAGCUUGCUCUUAAAUUAUUCUGUCACUGAGGUAUCAAAUUUUCUUCUGUGAUGCAGAGAGGUAGCAUGACAAAGUAGAAAGCAAAUAUUUAAGCAAUGAUAAAGUGAAGAGUGUUAAAUAGAAUCCAGUGUCUGAGGACUCGUUUUCUUUUUCCUGUUUCUCGAAUUAAUCUUACUUUGCUUUUCUUAAAUAUAAUUGAAACUGUCUACAUUAAAUCCAAAAGCAUAUUACUUCAUUUUUAUGAGACAGUACACAGGGAAGUUCUAAUAAGUAGAAUCUUACUACUGUAGUUGAUUUUUAUUUACUAUCAGACCUGGCUCCUGUCUGAGAACCAAAUGACCUCAGAAAUCAAAUGAUGCUAUGACUGGAGGGUGACUUAAUGUGAUUCUUUUAUUUGCCUGUGAAUUACAUCAUUGAACCAGAGUGUGUUGCUCUGGAUGAAAACUCAGGACUUUAAAUUUUUAGCAGCAAAUCAUUUUGCCUCUGAAAAGUUGGUAACUUUUAAAAUUAAUGUAGAUUUGUUGAAUUGUUCUCAUGGGGUAUUUUUGGAAACAUUCUUGAUUUGUGGUACUUUUCCUUGGAUGUCUUGGACAGUAACUUAGGAUAGCCAUCCAUUUUAUUCUUAAUAAUUUUCUUUUCUUUUCUUUUUUUUGAGAUGGAGUCUUGCUCUGUUGCCCAGGCUGGAGUGCAGUGGCACAAUCUCAGCUCACUGCAACCUCUGCCUCCCAGGUUCAAGCAAUUCUCCUGCCUCAGCCUCCUGAGUAGCUGGGAUUACAGGCACCUGCCACCAUGCCCAGCUACUUUUUUUUUGUAUUUUUAGUAGAGACGGGGUUUCACCAUUAUUGGCCAGGCUGGUCUCAAACUCCUGACCUUGUGAUCUGCCCACCUCAGCCUCCCAAAGUGCUGGGAUUACAGACGUGAGUCACUGCGCCCUGCCCUCUUCUUAAUAAUUUUCUUGAAUACCUCUGCCUGUCUCCUGUUGUUGUUUUUGUUUAGUUGUCUUUUAGUAUUUUUUUAAAAAGGAAGAGAAAGGGGAGGAAAGAAGAUGCUUCGAAAAACCUACUUAUUUUUGGCAAUUUUUGCAGCUUCUUGGAUAAGAGAGACUUAAUCAAGGAGUUUCUGACCCCCUACCAUUUUUCUUUCUAUCCCUGCCCAUAGUGGUGGGAAGGGCAAGGGUAGGUAUUGGAGGAAUACUGGGAGAAAAAAAUCCUGUGCUGAUAAGGAUGUCCAAACUUUCUGUGGAUCACCAAUUGUCUCUAUGACACAUUCAAUAAAAUAACCAGAUAACCGUGGAUAUCUCUAAUUAUGCUCAAUGAAUAACACUAUUGACUUUGACUGAAUUUUUCAUUGGGUCCAUCUUAACAAUAGGAAUAUUCACUUUGUAGUCCAGCUUUGUUCCAUGGAAAAUGAUGGAAAUGUUCUGUAUAUGCACUGUCCAAUACAAUAGCCACAGCUGCAGAGCUUGAAAUAUAGCUAGUGCAACUGAGAAACAAAAUUUUAGUUAAAUAGCCACAUGUGACCACCUUAUUGGACAACACAGUUCUGGUCUGUAGCAUUGUUACGUUCUGAAUUUGUGUCUUCUCUGGUUCGUUCGUCCUUACUGCUUCCUGACGUUGGAUAUGGUUGGGUCCUGAAAUGAAUGUGGUUAUUAAGAGAACAUCAAGGAGCAGACAGCCUCUGUACUGCAUGAGAACACAGAAACCUGGAUGUGUAGACAAUUUCAUUUUACCUUUUCCACUUAAAUGUUGUUGCACUGUUCUGAUUAUUAUUAUUACCAGUCACUAGUUGCCUGUAUCAUUUGUUGCACCUUUUAAUGGACUCUUAAUUUUUUUUUCUCCUUUUUAUUUUUAUUUUUUCUUUAGUGACAGGGUCUUGCCCUGUUACUCAAGCUGGAGUCCAAUGGCAUGAUCAUAGCUCACUGCAGCCUCCAACUCCUGGGCUCAAGUGAUCGUCCUGCCUCAACCUCCUUAAUAGCUGGAAUUACAGGCACAUGCCACCACACCCAACUAAUUUUUUAAAAAGCUUUUUGUAGGGAUGGGAUCUUGCUAUGUUGCCCAGGUGAUCUUGAACUCCUGUCUUCAAGUGAUCCUCCCACCUUGGCCUCCCAAAGGGCUGGGAUUACAGGCGUGAGCCACUGUGCUUGACCAUCUCUUAUUUUCUAAAUUAAGUAUUCCCAAAGCAUCAUAGCAAGAUGACAUACAGUUUAUUUUUUGUGUGUGACUAUUGCGAUACACAAUCAGAAACUUUUCUUUUCCUACCCCAUGGCCUCAUCUGCCAACCAUACCCAAACCUGGUUUUCAUGCUUAGUGUCUUUUUUCUACCAGUAAUAAAGAAGUUUGCCAUCUAAAUUUGAUGAGUUGAAUGUUUCUGUUCAGGAUUAUCCUGGCUAAUGAUGAGUACCAUCUUUUCAGGUACCAUACUGUUGGGCAAACAUCAAAUAACUCAGUAAGAGAGAACAUGGAGAUUAACAUCUGGCCUUCUAUGGUGGCUUCAUAGUUAUCUGGUGGGGUGACAAUAGUUUGUUUAGAUGGCAGACUAGAUAAUUCUUGAAGGAGUGAUUACUCUUCCAUGUAAUCGGUAGGAGUGUAAUGUUUUACAUACCUGACUGUUAUUACCACAGUAAUUAAAUAAUCACUGGGAGCGAGCUGGGCUUAUGCUGAUGCUCUUAUACCUCGGAACCUCAAGCCUCCUUGUAAUGCUGACUUCAGGACUGGCUUAGGAGAGACUGUUUAGGUGCUGCAGUAACUAAAUGCCCUUGGAUAGGUCUCAAGGCAAACCUGCCUUAGACGGUGAAUUUUGCUGAGCACAGCGAUUAUUAAGUAAUAAGGCAUUUUCCUCCUAAACCAGCAUUUGUUAAAUGCUCACUCUGUGGCAGAUUACUCUGCUGGGGUUUUGUGGAAGUAAUGCAAAGAUAAUUGACAUGGUUUCUGCUCACAGAAGUGGAGGAAGAAAAAUGUGUACAAAUAAUGCAAGAGUAUAAAUUGAAGUCAGGAAAGGGAGAGGAUGAGAGUGGCAGAAAUGUUAAGUGUGUGCCAACUGUGAAGCCAUUAGCUUCAAGAUUUUAAUCUGAAACAGGGCGUUUAAGGGAUAUAGACUCCUAUCCCAUCCCAAAUGUCUGGCUGAGGUUGGAAGCUCACACAGACCUUAAAGGCGGGAGCACAGAAUAAUGGGCAAAGAGUCUUUUAAAUUUCAUUAUAGAAGCAAGACAUCCACACAAUGUUUACCUGUGGAUAGACACUUCUAGAGGCUUCAUGACUAUUACACAAUACAUUUUACAACUUCUGCUUUGUAAUGGCCUCCUGACCCAUUCUGUGAACUGCCUAAAGCAGUCAUCUGAUUGACUUUAUACUCCUGUGUUGUUUUUAUAUAAAACCUGAUUGAUGUCCAGAUCUAAUACUAAAUUUGCUCAUGAGACUUGACUCUAAAUGACUUUUACUUGAUUUUAUCAAAAUUAUCAUCUCCCUCAAAAGACGAAAGACUCAUAACUCUCUAGGUGGAUCAUGGUCUUCCUGCUUUCAGUCUUUCCUCUUUCCAACCCAUCCUCCAUAGCGUGCCACUAUGACAUCUUUCCAAUGGAAAUAUCUGCCCAUUAGAAAUAAACUUCUCAUGAAACAGAGGUCUUGACUAGGAGUCUUGGAGCCAUAUUUAGUCUGUAGCUAAGUUUAUUUGUCCCCUGCAGGUGUUUAUGAGUCAACAUUUAGGAACUGAUUUUUUCAUAAUCUAGAUUUCAGCUUCCCUUGAAAAAUUGGAAGACACAGCCACCCUUGUCCUCUUUCUUCAAAGCAGUCAUCAGCUGGAGCUAAGUAGCAGCUGUCACCAUAUGCUAUAGAUGGGUCAUGCGUGCUCCAGUGCCCCUCUUCUAGAAUAUGCAUUACAUGGCCUGCCUCAGUUAUCUACAUUACCGUAGUCAUUGCUUUUGUGACCCCUGACCUAAGGAAUAGUCCAAGCCCCUUAGCAUGGCACCUAGACUACCUACCAGCUGGUCCCUUUUGCCUUCUCCAUCCUCUUUCCUGCCACUCUUUGCACUUUGUGCUCCGGCAGCACCAAAGUGCUUGUUGCAUUUGCCUGCUCCAUCAUGUUCUUGCAUGCCUCUGUGUCCUACUCAUGCUCAUCUGUCCAUUUUCCUCAUCUUGCUUCCUCAUUUGGAUAACUCUGACUUACUCUGUAGAAUCAGAUCACAUGGCAUCUUCUCCAGACUUUCCUUGGGUGCCAUCUGCAGGAAACCUCCUCUCUCGCUCCCAGCCUCCUCAUUCCUGGCACAAAGGGCAGCCCCUCACUGUGCUCCUUCCGCACUGUAAAUCCAUUACUGACUUACAUCAGUGUAAUGAAAUCAUCCAUGCACACACCCAUGUCCUUCUUGACACUGUAAGCUUUGUAAGGGCCAGGACUCACUCCUCUUUAUACCCUGUACUUUUCAGAGUAAAUGGAACAUUAUGAAACAAAGGUAAACUUAACACUUAAAAUAACUUUCACAGACUCUGAAGGUCUUCAUAAUAUAGAAAUUCUAAGAAAUGUUGAUAGCAUUAGAAUUGUCCUUUCAAGGUAACUACUUGGAAAGAGACAAUUCUGUGUUUGAUACAUUAAUCAUAUUGCUCUCUAUGAAACUGCAUUUGUCUAUUAGUAUACCAGAGAUUAUCUCUUUGUUGUUGUCUUCUUCUCCUCCUCCUGCUCCUCCCCCCUUUUUUUUUUUUUUUUUGAGGCAAACUCUUGCUCUGUUUUCCAGGCUGAAGUGCAGUGGUAUGAUCAUGGCUCACUGCAACUUUGAACUCCUGGGCUCAAGUGAUCCUCCUCAGCCUUCCAAGUAGCUUGCAACUAGAGGUGCAUACCACCACACUUGGCUGUUUUUUUUCUUUUAAUUUUGUAGAGGUGGGGUCUCACUUUGUUGCUUAGGCUGGUCUCCAACUCCUGGGCUCAAGUGAUCCCCACACCUUGAUCUCCCAAAGUGCUGGGAUUGCAGGAGUGAGCCACUGCACCCAGCCCUGUUUUGUUGUUUUCUGUCAUGCUAUUCAUUUUUCUUUGGUGGAAAAACAAAGGUAUAUAGUUACAAGGUGCUAUUAAUUGACCACUUUGUGAAUAUUAAGGUUAAUAAUGCUUUCUGUCCCUUUUGUUAGCUAAUCAUAGAUUAAAUUGUAAAGAAAUACAACUUCUCCUUGAGAUCGGGACACAGUGGUUCUGAGAAACUGUACUCCCCCGCCCCCACUUUGUUAAAAUGUGUAUUUCUGGAGCCUGCAGUGACUUCUCUUCUUUUGGCUUUUCCACUGUAAAGGUAGAAUUUCCUCCAGUUAAGGUUUCCAAACGAAAUAUAAUCUAGUGUUUACCAUUUAUAUUCCUAUCAGAUAAGUGAUGAUCUAGCAACUGUAAUGUCCUUUUCUAAGUCAUGAAUCUUUUUGUUUUCCAAGAGAAGUCUUAGAAUAAGAAAUAUGAAUGCCUCUAUAGAAUCAUUCUCAUAUAUCUCCUUGUUUCUUUUUCUCUUUUGUUCUGUAAGGCUUGCACCAUUGUCUUUUCCCAGUGUCCUUAUGUGUGGCAUUUUAGGGCUAGGCAAAAGGUUUUAGCCGUAAAAUUUAACAGCUAGGGAGGCAAAAAUGUAUUUUAGAACAGUGGUAUCAAAGAUCCUUAUUUUGAGGAGGAAAUCUUGAGGUCAAAUUCAUUGGCAUAAACUUUUAUUUGCUGAAGAGAUCUUAAAUGUAAUAUUUUAUUCAAAAUAUUUAUAUAAAAAUAAUAGGGGAUGGAGCAAGGAUCACAUCAUCUAAUGUAUGUCUUGUACUCAUUGGAUUCUCUGUAACUAUUUGAAUAAAUGAAUACAGCUGUUCCCCAGGCAUUAUGUGUUAUAUAAGUAGAAAUUACCACAUGCGUUACUGUGUACAAGAGGAACAUGAUUUAACCUGUGUAUAACCAAAGUUUUUGUAUAGUGAGGUACAAUAUAAAGUGUAAUUUGCUUGCUAUAUAAAACUAAAAGGCUGAAAAAUUGUGUGCCUGUUUCCAGAGCUAUAAUUGAUGGAGCUAAAAGAGCUGACUCCUCCAAUCAUAGGAACCAAACACAAUUAAGUGUUUACUUAGAGCCUCCCAGCUGAUAACUCUUAGAUAUUAUUUAUUAAAAGAUUAUAGUCUGGGUUUGAAUUGAAUGUCCAUUUCCAUUAACAUCUGUGUGUCUCCAAGAGCAACUUUAAUUCGUUGUUACAGAAAUUCUCCAGGUGGCUCCAGGCACCUUGACUAUGUUUUUCAUUUAGCAGAAACUUAAGAGCAAUGAAGGUGAUUUUACUGAGAGACUCCAUCUUAAUUCUCAGAUCAUCUAGACAUUUAGGAAAAGCCCACUUUAUGUUGCACCUUCCAUAUGUUAUAUUAAGUUUAUGUUCUAGAUUUGCCAAUUUGAGAAGAUAAGUCAUACCCCAUUAUACCCCAGACCCAGAUGCCGAGGCCCAAAGUGUGUCACAGAUGGACAUAAGGCAUUGUUUGAAUGUUUACCAGAGCAUUAUUUGACAUUUAUGCCAACUGUAAAAUGCAGGUCCUGUUUUUCAGGCUAUCUGCCCAGCAAUGGUUUGUUAGUAAGGAAAUUCUCAUAUAAUCUUUCUAGAUUCCAAAGAAUUUACAAUCCCAGGUCCAGUGUGGAGUGGGAAUGAAGUUCAGGAGUAUAGACCCAGAAAAAUUAUCCUAACAGUUUUGAUCUUGAAUAUAUAUGGUUUGGGGGACUAGAUUCAUUCUAAAUUAAAGUUGCAGGCCUAAUAAAGUAGUAAAAAGAUAUUAAAAUACGAAGAUUCAGCAGAACCUGUCAUUCUAAAACCAUUAUUGGAACAACAGUAUGGAGGCUCGAGCCACCUCCAUACUCCUAAUAGGAUUGCUUUCAAGGUCACCAGCUGAGUGCAUGACCAAGAGGUGUCUUGGAGUUGGGCAGGAGGGAAGAGAGUUGGAAUCUCUAUUAGCCCCUUUUAAAAACUUCCCAAAUAAUGUAGCUUAAGAUCUAAGUAAAAAUGCAACUUUAAGAGAAGUUACCCCCUUACAAACCAGUUGUCGCCUCUGAGCCCCGAUUUAGAACUAUAGAAAUUCAGAACCAGCCCUUAUCAGGGAUAUCAGUUUACAUAGUGGGAAAACAGGAUACUAGGAAAGUUUCACCACGUUCACUAGUAGUCAGUGGUACAGGUCAGAGUUUGCCACAGUUAUUAGAAAUCCAGGCUAUAUUUGGUGUGAGAAACUGUGAAAAAAGUGCUUAGAAAAAAGUGAUAGAAAAAGUGCUACAUAUGGAAAUAUGCACAUUACUGUUAUUAAUAUUUAAACUUUCUAAGCCUCAGAUUCCCAUCUGUGAAAUGAAAUGAAUAAAAUCAUGCUCACAGGUGCUGGCGGGUAUUAGAGAGAAUACACAAGCACUUAGCUUAUUCUCUGGAAAAUAAUUGGAGCUGAUUAUGUGACAAUUAUAAUAUUGGUAAUUUAUAACCAAAUGUCUCACAUUUUCUGAUAACUUCUACUGACAUGUUCUGUUGGGAGAAUGGCCUGGUGGAAAGACCAUCAUGCUUGUCUGUGCCAAACCUUAGCCAGUCUCUUUUUAUAGAGAUAUUUUCCCUAAUCUCUUUCCUUAACUUGUGAGUAAAAAUUUCUAGGAAGGCUGCCUUCUUUCUUGUGUUGUUUUAGUCACUUUCCUACCAUAGGCAUAUGUGACUGGAUCUUUGUUCUGUGUUUGUUCAUGUGAAUCAGAAGUCCUAGCUGCCAGGUAGAUUGCUCAUGCAGUACCCUGUAAUUUUGUUGUGUUAGAUGAAGGAAAUAAAUUGCCAUAAUGUCAGAUCACCUCACUUGUUAUUUUAAAUAUGAUUAAGGGAGUGUACCUGUUAUUCCUUGGGAUUAAUGGAAAACUCUGAUCUGCCUUAAUCAGGGAACAGUAGCAGUGAUCAUCUGCCAUUUUAAAAGCCAAUUCAAAAGGAUUUUUUUUUUUUUGCAAGGGUUUUUUUUUCCUUCUGAUGUGGGGUGUGCAUGUGCGCUCGUGUGCAUGUAUGUGAGUUGCUUGAUGGCAAUGUCCUAUGCUAAUGGACAGGUUUCUGCCAGUGGUUGAGAUUAUGGAUGCUUACACUGGGGAUGCCAAAUGUAUCCAGGCUUAUUUUUGCAGGCUUAUUUUCACAUACUUAUUUUCAGCACCAAGACUUCUUAUUCUAAGUUUGGUUAGCCAUCUUUUCUUUCAAUACUUCUUGUUUCUCUGUGCUAGUCUUGAUUUGUUCUCUAGUCACUCAGAAGUAAGUGCUGUGAACACUUACGAUGGAGAAAGCACCAAAUUAAAUGUUAUUUGCGGCUAUAAUUGAACAUAUAUAUGCCAGCGGAUCUGUGUCCUGGUGAAGUAGAUACUGUCUCGCUUGGAGCUCUUCCCUCUACCUGGUAUGUACUUCUGCUGCUUCUCCUCUCUCCACUUCACUCUCCCUGGUCAACACCUACUUGUCCUUCAGUUUAAAUGUCAUUUCCUUGGCCAGGCAUGGUGGCUUAUGCCUGUAAUCCCAGUGCUUUGGGAGGCCAAGGUGGGAGGAUCAUUUGAGCCCAGGAGUUCAAGAACAGCCCUGGCAACAGAGACCCCGUCUCUACAAAAAAUACAAAAAUUAACCAGGUGUGGUGGUGUGCACCUGUGGUCUCAGCUACUCCGGAGGCUGAGGUGGGAGAAUCCCCUGAGCCCAAGGAGGUCGAGGCUGCAGUGAGCCAUGAUCGUAGCACUAUACUCUAGCCUAGGCAGCAGAGUGAGACCUUGUCUCAAAAAAAAAAAAAAUUGUCAUUUCCCUAAGGAUGUCCCCAGACCAAGCUAGUCUCAGAUUCUAGGCCCUUUCUUACUCCAGGCAAAUUGUGUAUUAAGUGUUUGCUGAGUCGUUUAUUGUCUGUCUCCUCAACUAGACGAAGCUUGCAGAAAGCAAUGAAUAUGUCUGUCAGAUUCACACUGUGCCCCCAGCAACUAAUACAGAGUCUAGUAUGCACGUACUUUCUUUUAUUGUGCUUCAUGGAUACUGCAUUUUUUUUACAAAUUGAAGGUUUGUGGCAACCCUAUAUCAAGGAAGUCUGUUGGCGCCAUUUUUCCAAUAGCAUGUGCCUACUUCUCAUCUCUGCAUCACAUAUUGGUAAUUCUUGCAAUAUUUCAAACUUUUUCAUUGUUAUUCUAUCUGUUAUGGUAAUCUGUGAUGGGUGAUCUUUGAUGUCACUAUUGUAAUUGUUUUGGGAUGCUACAAACCAUGCCCACAUAAGAUAGCAAACUUAACAAAUAUUGUGUGUGUUCUGACUACUCCACCAACCCAGCCAUUUCUGUCUCUCUCCCUCUCCUCAGGCCUCCCUAUUCUUUGAGACAUGACAAUUUUGAAAUGAAGUUAACUAAUAACCUUACAAUGGCCCCUAAUCUAAGUGCUCAAGUGAAGAAUUACAUGCCUCUCACUUUAAAUCAAAAGCUAGAAAUGAUUAAGCCUAGUGAGGGAAGGCAUGUUGAAAGCCUAGAUAGGCUGAGAGCUAGGCCUCUUGCGCCAAACAGCCAAGAUGUGAAUGCAGAGGAAAAGUUCUUAAAGGAAGCAAAAAGUGCUACCAUGGUAAACACAAAUGAUAAGAAAGCGAAACAGCCUGAAUGCUGAUACAAAGAAGAUUUGAGUGGUCUGGAUAGAAGAUCAAACCAGCCACACGUUCUCUUAAGCCAAAGCUUAAUCCAGAACAAGGACCCUAACUCUCUUCAAUUUUAUGAAGGCUGAGAGGUGAGGGAACUGCAGAAAAAAAGUUUGAAACUAGCAGAGGAUGGUCAUGAGGUUUAAGGAAAGAAAGUGUCUCCAUAACAUAAAAGCACAAGGUGAAGCAGCAAAUGCUGAUGGGGAAGCUGCAGCAAGUUAUCCAGAUCUUGCUAAGGUAAUGAUGAAGGUGAGUUCACUAAACAACAGAGUUUCAAUGGAGAUGAAACAGCCUUCUGUUGGAAGAAGAUGCCAUCUAGGACGUUGAUAGACAGAGAGUCAAAGUCAGUGCCUGGCUUCGAAGAACAGGCUGAAUCUCUUGUUAGGGGAUAAUGCAGCUGAGUCAUUGCAAUCAUUGACUUGGAGUUGAAGCCAAUGCUCAUUUGCCAUUCUGAAAAUUCUAAGGCCCUUAAGAAUUAUGCUAAAUCUACUCUGUGUGCACUCUGUCAGUGGAACAACAAAGCCUGGAUGACAGCACGUCUGUUUAUAGCAUGGUGUACUGACUAUUUUAAGCCCGCUAUUGAGACCCACUGCUCAGAAAAAAAGUUUUCUUUCAAAAUAUUACUGCUCAUUGACAAUGUACCAGGUCACCCUGAUGGAGAUGGACAAAAGAGGUUAAUGUUGUUUUCUUUUUUUUUUUUUUUUUUUUUUUUUUUGAGACAGAGUCUUGCUCUGUCACCCAGGCUGGAGUGCUGUGAUCUCAGCUCACUGUAACCUCUGCCUCCUGGGUUCAAGCUAUUCUCCUGCCUCAGCCUCCCAAGAAGCUGGGAUUACAGGUGUACACCACCACACCUGGCUAACUUUUUGUAUUUUUAGUGGAGACAGGGUUUCGCCAUGUUGGCCAGGCUGGUCUCAAACUCCUGACCUCAGGUGAUCUGCUUGCCUUGGCCUCCCAACGUGCUGGGAUUACAGGCAUGAGCCACUGCACCCGGCCACAAGGAGGUUAAUGUUGUUUUCAUGCCUGCCAUCACAACAUCCAUUUUUCAGUCCAUGGAUCAAGGAAUAAUUUUGACUUUCAAGUCUUAUCACUUAAGAAAUAUAUUUUGUAAGGUUAUGGCUGCCAUAGGUAGUGAUUCCUCUGAUGGAUCUGGGCAAAGAAAAUUGAAAACCUUCUGGAAAGGAUUCACCAUUGCAGAUGCCAUUAAGAACAUUUAUGAUGCAUGGAGGGAGGUUGGUGUGCCAAACCCCUAUUGACUCCAGCGGGGAUGGCACCAGGUUCAAGAGGCUGAAGAAGAGACCUAGAGCCAGCGAAUGAGACAUGGGUUUUACUGGGGACUUACGUACAGGUGAGAGAGUCCAGUGGUGGCAGACUGGGCAAAACCACCACCACCACUUGCAAAACACAUGCAAUUUAUAUAACAUUUUCACUUAACACCCUCCCCCUAGCAACUUCCACCUGGCAAACCUCAUUUAACCCAAAACAAUGGGCCGUGAUCCCCUGUAUGGCCCAUGUUCCACAGGAUGCGUCUGGGGCUCAGGUGUUCCUCAUAGACAAGGAAUGGAUCUCUGGGUUGGCCACUUCUGAGUACACAUUGAGGUGCUCUGCCAUACGGGGUCAUUCUCAGGGUAUACUCAGGUCGCAUUAUCACUGUCAGGUGCAUCUACCAUACAAAACUCAAAAUAUCAACAUUAACAGGUGUUUGUAAGCAGUUGACCCCAACCUUCAUGAAUGACUUUGAGGGGUUUAAGACUUCAGUAGAGGAAGUAACUGCAGAUGUGGUGGAAAUGGCAAGAGAACUAGAAUUAGAAGUAGAGCCUGAAGAUGUGACUGAAUUGCUGCGAUUCCAUGAUAAAACUUGAACAGAUUAGUUUCUUCUUAUGGAUGAACAAAGUAAGUGGUUUCUUGAGAUGGAAUCUACUUACGGUGAAGACGCUGUGAACAUUGUUGAAAUGGCAACAAAGGAUUUAGAAUAUUACAUAAGCUUAGUUGAUAAAGCAGCAGCAGGGUUUGAGAGGAUAGAGUCCAUUUUUGAAAAAAGUCCUGUGGAUGAAAUGCUAUCACACAACAUCGCAUACAACAGAGAAGUCUUUCAUGAAAGGAAGAGUUCAUGGACUUGGCAAAUUUCAUUGCUAUCUUACUUUAAGAAAUUGUAGCUGGGUGCAGUGGCUCAUGCCUAUAAUCCCAGUGCUUUGAGAGGCAGAGGCAGGAGGAUCAUUUGAACCCAGGAGUUUGAGACCAGACCGGGCAACAGAGUGAGAACCUGCCUCUACCAAAAACAAAACAAAACAAAACAAAACCUAGCUUGGUGUGGUAUCACAAGCCUAUAGUCCUAGCAACUUGAGAGGCUGAUGCAGAAGGAUUGCUUGAGCCUGAGAGGUCAAGACUGCAGUGACCUGUGGUUGUGCUACUGCACUGCAGCCUGGGCAACAGAGUGAGACCCUUUCAAAAAAAAAAAAAAAGGGAAGAAAUUGCCGCAGCACCCCAGCCUUCAGUGACUACUAUCCUUAUCAGUCAGCAGCCAUCAACAUGGAAGCAAGACCCUCCACCACCAAAAAGAUUACAACUCACUAAAGGCUCCAAUGAUUCUUCGCAUUUUUUAGCAAUCAAGUAGUUUUUAAUGAAGUUAUGUACACUGUUUUGGGACAUAAUGUUGCACACUUAAUAGACUACAGCGUAACGAAAACACAACUUUUGUAUGCACUGUGAAACCAAAAAAUGUGUGUGACUUGCUUUAUUGCAAUAUUUGCUUUAUUGGGGUGGUCUGGAACUGAACUGGCAGUAUUCUGAGGUAUGCCUUGUUGAGGCUUCCUAAAUCUUCAUUACAUCAACAGGUGUCACACCCUAGAUAAAAAGUUGAGAAGAAUACAUCCAACAAUUUUUUACAUCCGUAAUAGUCUUAGAAACUUUGGUAUUUACUUUUUCCACUGAAACAGUUCUCUUUUUCUGUUGAGCUGUUCUGUAGAACUUGAAGGAAAUUAUUUCUAGGUGCUGAUUCAAGACCUCUUAGUCCAUGGGUGCUAAGCCAGAUGGCAGAAGCCCAAAUCUGGUUCCUCAUAAGAUAACUGAUUGGAGGCAACACACUCUGGCCCUGCCAGCCAGAGAAUGAGACAGCAUAGCUGGAGAGGUAGUCUGUCUAGGCCUUUAAACAUUCCAGGGUUCAGGACUUUGUUUUGAAUCUAGCAAAGGCCUGGAGAUAUCAGAUCAAUCACCACCCUGCCUAGUGAUAAUGACGGUGAAUUUUGUAUUAACGACCUUUGUCCACUAGCCUUUAUGCAGGGAUGACUUGUUUGUUUUCGGCUAGGACAUUGGCUUGGACAGUCUGCAGUGGCUUACUUGGAUCAAAUUCUAGAGCUAGACCAUUCCAGAAGCACCUUCUACCAUCAUUUUUCCUUGAACUGCCAGAGCUUAUUAUAAAACGUUCAUUUCGUGUUUGUGGCAUAUCCUCAUUACAGCCGUGUUUGAAUUAUUAUAAGUAUUUUCUUUCCUUUUGCACAGUUGAAAUUCAGUUAUCAUGACCAUAUUAAGUGUAAGCCAGGGAGAACUUGCAUACACAAAUCCUUAGUGAUUUAAACUCCCACUGAGCUCUUGACUAAUAGUGUCCCUCACUCCCACCUGCUGCUCUGUGGAUUAGGAAAUAUCGUGGAAAGUGAACUGGAGCUGCUGCUAAUUUAACAAAGUCCACUGUGUACCUAGCCACAUUCCCUCUAGUUCUCCACCUAUUCAGUGCAUCUCAUUAAGCCACCCUCACAAAUUUCCUUUUAUGCUUCUCUUUUAUAAUACUAUCUCUGCACUGCCUUUUUUUUUAAGGCCCAGAAAAACAGGUUCUUUGUGGGUAGACAGUUCCUGGUGCACACCUUUCAUUCAGCACUGUAAAGAUGCAAAGUGGCAACUGAGAUAUUAGGAUUCAAAACCUCAGCACUCUGGAUUUUUACCCUGGGCUUGGGGAAUCAAAUUUUCUUUUUAUGAAUUUGCUAGCUCUGAUUCUUCUGUGACACCACAGUAGAAAAUCCUAUCCUAAUUCUUAAUGGUAUUGUUCAGAAUCCUAUAACUUCCCCUUACCCAUCUAGUAGUUUAGAAUACCAUAACAUUAAAAUUAGUAUGAAUUUUGAGUGGAACUCCAAACUGACCUCUUAUAUCAACACUUCUAAUCAUCAGCCAGAUUUUCUCACAAUCUAAGUAAUUUCAAAAUUAUUCUCACUCCACUGCCAUAAGUUUCAGUGACACACAUCUACUUUGAUGCUGCAUGACCUUCACUUGAACUUCAUUCAGCCAGCUGUGUGGGUUUAUGCUGGGACUUGUUUCCACACCACCUACGAUAUCAUGAACUCAGAAAUUCCCCUAGGUACCCACAGACUUCAGAUUCAGCAAACAAUGAUUUGCUCCCUACCCUAUGCUAGAUGUUUCCAUACGCAGUAGUCUUCCGCUUGUCCUUCUAGGAGCCUCAGUCGAUGCCUGAAACUUCAGAUGGUACCAACCCCUAUAUGUAUAUACUAUGUUUUUUCUAUACAUACCUGUGAUACAGUUUAAUUUAUAAAUUAGACACAGAGAUUAAUAACAAUAAUAAAAUAUAGCAAUAUACCAUAAUAAAAGUUAUAUGAGUAUGGUCGCUCCCAAAAUAUCUUACUGUGUUGUACUCACCUAUUUUCAGACUGUAGUUGACUGCAGGUAACUCAGAAUGCAGAAAGCAAAACCAGCGAUGAGGGUGGACUGCCGUGUGUGAGCUCAUCCUCCUACCUGAAGAAAAGCCUCACACCUUCUGAACCCCCUGUGUUCUCACAGUUAUGAGUCCUCCUUCCCACUCACUGGUGUUUUGUCAAGCCCGGAACUCACGGGUAACCAUUUCAAAGAUGCACUUGCAAUGAUGCCUGGGCCUUCCUUGCAGGCUGGAGUGUCCCCUCAUAGCCUCCUGUUUCUUUAGGUCUGUGGAGUGUUACUGUGAGACUCCUAAAAACCAGCUGUGUGGGUCGUUUCUACUUUCUUAUCCUCUCACCAUCAGCUGAGCCCAAUUUGCUGCUAGCCGGUUGUCAAAUCACAUCACAGAGAUGCUCACCCCAUUUUGUCUACUGUAUGUCACUCUUUUGCCCAGGCUGGAAGUACAGUGGCACGAUCUUGGCUCACUGCAACCUCCACCUCCUGUGUUCAAGCAAUUCUCCUGUCUCAGCCUCCCGAGUGGCAGGGACUACAGGCACACGCCACCACACCUAGCUAAUUUUUGUAUUCUUAGUAGAGACAGGGUUUCACCAUAUUACUCAGGCUGGUCUCGAACUCCUGACCUCAGGAGGACCUCUUGAGCCCAGGAGUUCAACACCAGCGUGGGCAACAUCGUGAUACUCCAUCUCUGCAAAAUUAAAAAAUAGCCCAGCAUGGUGGUGCAUGUAUGUAUUCCCAGCUAACUCAGAAGGCUGAGGUGAAAGGAUUGCUUGAGUCUGGGAGAUUGAGGCUGCAGUGAGCUAUAAUCAUGCCACUGCACUCCAGCCUGUGCAACAGAAUGAGACCCUGUCUCAAAAAAAACAAAAACAAAAACCGAAACUGGGUACAGUGACACAUGCCUGUAAUCCUAGCACUUUGGGAGGCCCAGGUGGGAGGAUUACUUGAGGCAAAGAGUUUGAAACCAGCCUGGGCAACAUAGCAAGACUGCAUCUUUACAAAAAAACUUAAAAAAAUAAGUAGCUUCUACAUCAUAAUUUACUCUCUUGACUAGAGGGAGAAAAUAGGUGGAAAGACAUAUAGCCUGUAUUAUUCUAAUUUAAAGUUCAACAGGAAAGAGAAGAAUGAGGAACUUCUGUUUUCAUUUGAUAUGAUUUUGAAGAAGGAAGAGGUUAAUGUUUAAAAAGGACUGUUGGCCACUGACACUGGAUUUCACUAAAUCCUGAGUGUCAAAGGUAAUUGCAGUCAUGUGGCUAGUGACAUAGUUUUUUGGUGAAGCAUUAUCAAGAGGAGCAAAUUGAAUGCUCCAGCCCCAUCUGAGGAUUUCUUGGUUAUUUAUUGUGAGCCAUUAUAACUACAGAUGCUUCAUGAGAGAGUUAAUAUAAUUACUGGUCUAUAUCUUUUUACUUUAGGAGAACAGAGUUAAAGAAUGAGUCCAUUACUAUUUCAGGUGAUGUGUUUAGAAAGCAGAGCUUUAAUUCAGGACUUAAAUGGUAUUAAAUGGUGUUUCUUGAAUUCCAUUCUUCUGACACUUACUGUCAUAAUCAUUUGUAGUGAAACCUAUGUAGUCAUUCCCAGCAUCCCGGAUUUGGUUUCUUCCAAGAUUAGAUACACUUUAAUGAGUAGGUAAAUUUCCUAUUUCAGUUUCUCUUUAGUGUAUUUUAUCUUCAAACUUUACUGUGAUAUUUUAGUGUGAACAUUAAAACAAAAAAAGGAAAACCAUCCUGGGUUUUGACUGAUGGUUCAUCCUGGACCAGUCUAUGGCAUUUAGCAUUAUCUUUUCUUUUAUUGGGACCCUGAAACUUACAGUUUAUGAGACUUAGAAGUUGACUGAAGAGAAGCAGGCAUCCCUGUAUGAAGUCAUAGCAGGUAUAUCAACACAAAGCUUGGGACAGUUAGGCUCACAAAAAGUAUUGGUGUCCAAAUUCAGAAUGCUUGAUCUCUGUUAAGUUAACAUUUGAUAAAAAAAUUAAUUUCUUUAUCCUGAUGCUGAUGAAGAUCUCUUCUGAGAAUCACAGCGAUGCUUCAGGACUCAUAAUGAUGUGACAAAUCUUUGUUACUGUGGUCUCUGAUGAAAACCAAAUUUUCUUUUCUUUCUUUUUUUUUUGAGACAGUGUCUCACUCUGUUGCCCAGGUUGGAGAGCAGUCGUGUGAUCUUGGCUUACUGCAGCCUCCACUUCCCCAGGCUCAAGCGAUCCUCCCACCUCAGCCUCCCAUGUAGCUGAGAGUACAGGCAUGCGCCACCAUGCCCCGCUAAUUUUCGUGUCUUUGCAAAGAUGGAGUUUCACCAUGUUGCCCAGGCUGGUCUCAAACUCCUGAGCUGAAGCGAUUCACCCACCUCAGCCUCCCAAAGUGCUGGCAUUACAGGCGUUCACCACUGCACCCAGCCUGAAAACCAACUUUCUAACAGGCAAAUUGGGCAAGUUAGGUUUUAAUGUACUAGGAGUAGCUCUGAAAUUUUAAAUUGGAAUGUGUGUCAAAGAAUUUGUAGAAUUGAGGGAGCUUGCAGUGUGUUGUGGUGUCUUGGAGGCCAUACGGUGUAGGAGUUAAAACUUGGACCCUGGAGCCAGUCCAGAGCCCAUUUUUGCCUCCUCCUAAACAUAUGCUUCAGGCAAAGUACUUACAAUUUCUGUGCCUCACUUGCUUUAUCCAUAAAUCAGGGCUAGUAGUGACACCUAUCUCAUAGGGUUAUUAAAGAUUAGGUAGAAUAAUAUCUAAAACAUGCUUGUAACUGUGCCUAAUCAGGCACUAAUCAAGCAGCCUGUAAAUGGUAACGAAUGUUAUUAAUAUUUGGAAAGCUUUCUUAGUUCAACAGCUUUAUCUUAGUAGUUUUAAGAAACCAACAUUUCUGCUAAGAUGUCUAAAUUUUGUGUUUUUUUAAAUGUCUUCUCUUAAAUUUAAAAAGAAAAGAAUUCUUUAAAAAAUAAAAUUUGUUUUUUCUUUUUUUUUUUUUUUUUGAGAAUCUUCUCCUGGAAGGAUGUCUAAAUUUUGGAAGACUUGAAACAAGUUAAAAGAAAUUUGUUUCUGGUCUAUGAGAAAAUUGAAAUCAGUAAUUCUGACUUUAGGCAGGUUACUACCCCCCUUCCCGUCCUUCUCUCUUGUUUUCUGGAUCUUCUGCUUGGCCUCCAGGAGUCCAGAGAGGGAACUGUGGGAUGUGAAGACUCAUUAAAUUCACAUGAGGUAUCCUUUAAGCCCUCCAUUGAGAUUGACCCCCGCUUAAGUACAUUUCAGCUCAAAACGCUGCCUUCCCCCACUUUUCUGGGGAGCAGGGAUUACUUUUCUUAUAGCCCCUGUUAAAAGAAAACUCCAGAAAAGUUAAAUUCAGUGGAGUUUAAUUGAGCAAAAAAACAGAAACGAUUCACGAAUCAGGCAGCGUCCAGAAUCACAGCAGAUUUGGAGACUCCGGGGUGCCUCGUGGUCAGAACAAGUUUAUGGACAAAAGGGGUAAAGUGAUUUACAGGAAUUGGAAGUGAGGUUCAGAAACAGUGCGAUUGGUUACAGCUUGGUGUUUGCCUUAUUUGAAUGCAGUUUGAACACUCAGCAGUCUAUGAGUGAUUGAAGUAUGGCCGCUGGGAUUGGCCAACACUCAGCUAUUGUUACAGGUGCAUAUUACUAGUUAGGUUUUCAAUUUUGUCUGCCUAUUAAGCUAGGUUACGGUUUGUCCACAAGGACUCAAAUAUAGAACGAAGUCUUCAGGCCAUAUUUAGUUUGCUUUAACACCCGCCUCAAGCUUCAUUCCUUUUUGGAGGUGAAAGGAAUUUAUCCAGUGUUCUUGCACGUCAGUGAAGGAAACCUUUCCAGUGAAAAGGAGUCUGUUGACCUGCCUAGGCUGGACCAGUUCCAGUAUCAACCUGGGCCAACUCCCAGUACUGAGGCUGGAAGAGCAGAUGCCCCCUGAUAAAUAAUCUUUUAUUGUUUCCAGAAAUUUCCCAAAGCUUAUAAACCUUAAAAUAUCCUGAAUUAUCUAAAACUGUGGAUUGUGUCCUCUAAAAACUCCUACCAAUGCCCUUCCCUCCCCACAUUUCUCUUCCCUUCCCUACAGGUGACUUUCAAGUGUGGUUUGUGUAAAGUAUUAUUAGUUCCAGCUAUUUAGUGACCUCUUCGUUCUCAGUGAAACCUAAUACCAUCCACAGUAAUGAUUAUGCAUGUCUUUAGGUAGGGAUUAACUUGUUACAAGUUUUCUUUGAUUACCACAGUCAUCUUAUGUAUAUUCAAUUCUCCCUAUUUGAUAUUGUUAUAUUAUACAGUAUAUCAGUGGCAAGAUGUGUUGAAUUGAGAUGAGGCUGUUAAGAAAAGGUUUUCUAGGAAAACAUAAAUUGGCAUUUACUCAAGAAUUUUCUUUAACAUUACAUUCAAUUAAAAACACAGAUUUUUUUGUUGUUGAUUUGACAAACAACAAAGAAAUUUCUCAAGGCUUAAAUACAUUAUUAAAUCUUCUUUACCAAUCACUUUGGUUUUGUUACAUCAGCAUGUUUAUAAAGGUUUUCUGAAGGAAAAGAUUAUAUCAACAUACACUUCACAGGCAAUGUCUAAUGGUUGUUUUUCCCACAGUGGAAAAGAUACUGUGGUUACAUGAACUACAUUUAAAAUUCCUUAUUUUUGCUACUUGCCAGUAAUAAGUCCUAUAUAUAAAUUAUUAGAUUUUUAUUUUUUUCAAACUUUUAAGUUCAGGGGUACAUGUGCAGAUUUGCUAUAGAGGUAAACUUGUGUCACGGGUGUUGUACAGAUUAUUUCAUCACCCAGGUAUUAAGUCUGGUACUCAUAUGUUUCUGGAUCCUCUUGUCCUCCGGUAGGCCCCAGUGUCUGCUGUUCCUUUCGAUGUGUCCCUGUGUUCUCAUCAUUUUUCUUUUACUUCUGACUUUUUAUAACUUGAAAAUAAUCUCAGAUGCCUAGCGAUUGUCUAGCUAUAGCAAAUAUUUUUAUUGGAACUUAUUAUCCUUGACAACCACUUUUAUAAUAGCAUUGUGAGGCAAACAGUACUUUUACAUCAGACACACAAAAAUGGGGACACUAAAAUUAGGACAUUAUGGCUAAUGUUCAUCUCUCUCUCCCUUCCUCUCCCUAUCUCCCUCCCGAGGGGGAGAAUAUGUACCCUU
rnacentral:lncRNA from 1 species